rnacentral:rRNA from 1 species
UACAGAGGGGGCAAGCGUUGUUCGGAAUUACUGGGCGUAAAGGGCGCGUAGGCGGCCUUCUAAGUCGAACGUGAAAUCCCCGGGCUCAACCCGGGAACUGCGUCCGAUACUGGAAGGCUUGAAUCCGGGAGAGGGAUGCGGAAUUCCAGGUGUAGCGGUGAAAUGCGUAGAGAUCCGGAGGAACACCAGUGGCGAAGGCGGCUGCCUGGGCCAAUACUGACGCUCAGGCACGAAAGCGUGGGGAGCAAACAGG